ensembl:lncRNA
UUAAUGCGGAAUCACCAAGAAGUAAAAGGCUCCCCCCCAGCUAAUGGGAUUGAUCCCGCUCAUGUAGUGAGCGAGAAUUAAAUAUAUUAGAAAAAUUAUCGGUGGUUUAUGUUUCCCCUUGGAAUUUUCUGGUAAACAGCUAUUAUGGAAGAGGCUGUUUUGGGCCUAACUACCAAAGUAGUCAGAGCAAGGACCUGUUGUUUUACUAACAUAUACAAUAAAUAUCAGACAGUUUUAAAUGGGAAAGAGAGAUGCUCAGGCAAAUGUAAAUUAUUUAAAAUGUAUAAUUAUAUAUAUAAUUAUAGAUUUUGAAUCAUUCACAUUAGUUCUAUAUUAGUUCUACUAUAUUGCGUCACAUUAGUGUUUCUCCCAGGUUCACAACUAUGGGGGGGCGGACGUACCGGAGGGAGGCGUGUGCGUUGGGGCGCGCCGGGAGAUGUGAGGGUAGGGAAAACACUGAACAUGAUAUUAUAUCCUAUGAUAUUAGAAAUACUAAUUAUGAUUCCAUGUUUGCUUAAAUUAUGUUAAUGUUAUAUGGAAUUAGAACUAUAAAGUAUGAUACUUUGUUACAUAAGUCCUAUAUUUUUUAUAUGAUAUUAUAAAUAUGAAGUGUGUGUAUUGAUAAUCAAAAGUUAUUUUCAUGGGCUUAGUUGGGGGUUUUGCUGUCUUGUCUUGAUUUAAGAGUUAGGUAAGGGGUAAGCAGGAUCUGCCAAGCAGGCAGACACGAGUCUGACAGGAUGGGGAGUCAGUUUAUGUCCUGGCUGAGGAAUGUAAGGUCUGCGGGUCAACUAGAAGAUUUACCAGUCAAAGGGGGGUUAGAGACACACCAACACUAUUCAACAUACACACUCUGUUUACGAUGUUUACGUUAAGUCAGGAGUCUGGACAUUGGAUGUGACCGGAUCUUAGAUGCGGGAGGUGGAAGGUCCUCCUCUACGCCAGUUUAGGGCCAAUAGAAAUAUUUCCUUCUCUGUCUUUCAAGGGUUAUAAAACAUGAUGUUCUUGCUGAUGUUAGUUAGUUGUUCUUCCGGCCUGUGUGCUGCCUGAACUGCUCCUGCCUUUGCAAACGCAGCGCUGAUACUUGACCUGUGAUCUGACAAAUAAAUUUCCCAGAACGAGAGAAGUCAUUCGGCUGAAUUUUUGAUAACCCCGACCAGGCUCCAAAUCUUGAACACGUAUUCUUACAAUUUGGUGACCCCGACGUGAUUUGCUGACCUGGACAAAGAAAGACGGGGACGUCCGUUUUCCGGACCGAGCCAAAAGGGCCGGCGGCGUGGUUCAGCAUUGACAACAGGCGCGCAAACAGAAUCAGGUGAGCAGACAACCUUUUGUUCUAAAUGAAUAAAAUGUCUGUGAUUGGAUACUUCUAAAAAGAUUUGUUGUCAACUGCAAAAUUCGUCUCUGUCCAUUGACUGAAUAAGGUCGUUAUAAGACCAUUAAAUUUAAAACUAAAUUUGAAAAUUUCCUGUUGAUCACAUGUAAAGUAUAAGCACAUACUCACACUGAAUUCAACGUUAGGGAAAGUGAAUAAGUGUCCAUAGGUUUAGGGAUUUAGGUAAAAAUAUAUAUAAUCUUAGUCGGUAGAAAUCCAAGUUGCAAUCCGUGUGGUACGUAGAUACCUCUGGUAACUGCAGUCCCACGUUUGCAUGCAGUGGACUGGCAGUUUAGAAUAGUGUAGGGAUUUAGGUUUAGGGACUUAGGUAAAUACAUGAAGAGUUUAAAAAGGAAUGACGGGGCUCACUUGAGUUCCCUGAGGUCGACUCUUAGUCUGUAGAAAUCCAAGUUACAAUCCGUGUGGUACGUAGAUACCUCUGGUGACUGGGGUCCCACGUUUGCAUGCAGUGGGCUGGCAGUUUAGAAUAGAGCAGGGAUUUAUGUUAAUUUUAGUCUGUAGAAAUCCAAGUUGCAAUCCGUGUGGUACGUAGAUACCUCUGGUAACUGCAGUCCCACGUUUGCAUGCAGUGGACUGGCAGUUUAGAACAGUGUAGGGGUUUAGGUUUAGGGACUUAGGUAAAUAUAUGAAGAGUUUAAAAAGGAAUGACGGGGCUCACUUGAGUUCCCUGAGGUCGACUCUUAGUCUGUAGAAAUCCAAGUUACAAUCCGUGUGGUACGUAGAUACCUCUGGUGACUGGGGUCCCACGUUUGCAUGCAGUGGGCUGGCAGUUUAGAAUAGAGCAGGGAUUUAUGUUAAUCUUAGUCUGUAGAAAUCCAAGUUGCAAUCCGAGUGGUACGUAGAAACCUCUGGUCCUGCAGUCCUACUCGUGUGAUUCUUGGACUGGCAGGUUAGAAUAUUAGAUGAAGAAAUAAGGACACAGGGAAAGAUUUGUUGUUUUUCAUACUGGGAAAUGUGUGGGUGGUUGGUGUAACUCCUGGUGUUUUACCGAACCUGGAAGCUGGGCGUAUCAGGACUUGAAAAAGGACUGAGAAUCCGACAGUGAAAAGUGUUUGACCGGAUUACACAUCUGUGGGGAUAUGUAUUAAAGGGUAAAAGGGAAAAUCAUAGUUAAAUGAUGGUGGUAUAAAUACGAGAGAAAUAAAACAAUACGAGUGAACUGGUGUUAUAAGCCUCAACAAUCGAGCGCUGUAUUCCUCUAAUAAAGUAGAAGGUUCUUGAUUGGGUUCACAGUAUUGGGCAUUGAGUCCUUUCUCUUGUGUUCAAAAACCACGUGUGAAUAAAUAAAUAACCUGUGAUGAAAAUGGAGGAAACCAUAACGAUAUGGGAGAGGUGUAAAGAAGGCACUCUGGGUUUCGCCCUAUUUAAGACUUAUAAGAGACAUAUGGAUAAAACCCUAGAAAAAGAUAGGAAAUGUGUAACAAAAAUAUGUGAAGUGGGUUGCACAGAUGCAGGAAAGAGGAAUGUUUGGAAGGGAGACAGAUUCUCAACCAACAGGCGAGCAGCUGCAGGACCAUCUUAGGAUGGCGAGAAGAGGAAAAGACCAAGCGCAUGCGCUCCUUGCCGUUAAGGGGAGAUUUUGU